UACGUAGGCACCAAGCGUUGUCCGGAUUUAUUGGGCGUAAAGAGCUCGUAGGCGGUUCGGUAAGUCGGGUGUGAAAACUCUGGGCUCAACCCAGAGAGGCCACCCGAUACUGCCGUGACUGGAGUGCGGUAGGGGAGUGGGGAAUUCCUGGUGUAGCGGUGAAAUGCGCAGAUAUCAGGAGGAACACCGGUGGCGAAGGCGGGUCUCUGGGACGUUACUGACGCUGAGACGCGAAAGCGUGGGGAGCAAACAGG
rnacentral:rRNA from 1 species